UCACGCAGCCACAUCCCAAACCAGACCCCUGAUUCGUUCCCUCUCCCUCACCGAUUCCGGCAGCCUGCUUCGAUGAAGACCACCGGCGAUCUCCGGUGCCCACCUUUCUUCUCCGGCCGCACUAGACCCCCUCUCCUUCUCCGACUAACCUCCACAACACCCCCACCUUCUCUCUCCGCCUCAAACCACCGCACAAACCGCCACCUUUGACGUUUGAACGGUCGGCGUGGCACACGGCGGCGAGACAAGAGGGAAGAGAGAGAGAGAACCGAAGAGAGAGAGAGAGAGACGACGACAGUAGCGUCGUCUGCGGCGGUGGCGGCGGAUCUGCUCCUGUUCGGGUCGCUGCGCCGGCACCGGCUUGGUUCAGUUUCUGGUCUCGGAAUUCGAGUCCCGUUCGACUUCAGUCCACUCCGUUCAUCAUCCGUUCCAGUUCAGAUUCGUUCUAACCCGAUUCAGUCUAGGUCUAUGUCGGGUUUCAGUUUCAAGUCGAGUCCUGGUUUCAGUUUCGUCAACGGGUUAGUUCGGUUCAGUUCGACUCAGUCAAACCGAGGCAACUCGGUCAACUGCUGGUCAACUCAGUCGAACACGGUCAACUCUUCGGCACGAGACUCGGUACAAUCCUAACGUCGUGAAGUUGAUUAUAUUGUCUUGUUAACGUUAUUUUGAUCGUAGAACCGACUCUAAUGUUAUUCAUGAUUAAUGUUAUUUUAGUCGUCGUUCAUUAUAUUAUUUACGUUGAUGUUAAAUUUUACGCGAACCGUAUUUUUUAUAACUUGUAAUCAUACAUAGAAAUAUAUAUAUUAUUUUUAUAAUUUGUUGUUUCGGAUUGUUCCGUAUUUUAAUCAUUGUUAAUGAAUUGUUGAGUUUUGGGAAAUAAUAUCGACAACUUGUGUUGUCGGGAUCGUCCAAAAACAGAGGAAACUCUGCCCGAUUUUCAUAAAAAUAUAUAAUUCAAAAUGCGUUAAAAUUAUAAAACUAAACGUAUCGGUUUCAAAUAUUUUUUUAUAAAAAUAAAUAUAAAUGUAUAGUAAUUUUUGACAACACUCCUAAUGUAUCCUUGAUGGAUUUAAUUUAGAAUUUUUACUUAAACUAUGUAAAAUAUGUAUAUACAUAUAUAUAUAUCAAUAAGUUAUACUCUAAAUUCCAAUUCAAAUCCUCCAUCAUAAUUCCUAUUACUCGUACACCUCCGUUUGCCCAUAUAGGGUGACUUCGGUGUUCCAUCCUCUUAAUCUCAUGCACUCGUCAACACUUGGAUGAUCAGAAGACUUAGCAAAUUUUGUGAGUAUACUUGACCCAUUUUAUCGUUUUCACACUUUUGACCCAUGUUUUUAUAUACAAAAAACACUUAGUAUGCAUACUCUUAUGCAAAUACAUAAACAAACAAUCCAAUAUAUGCUUACUAUUUGUUAUGCUUGAUUCAUGUUUUCUGGGUGAUUCUUAUGUGAUGAACUUGUCAUUAGCUUCGUACAAGCCUCCACUUAACAUGUAUAGCGCUAUAGGAGUAACACACCACCCGUGAACGAGAGGUCAUGUUAGGUUUAUUCAUUCAUACUUGCGUAAACAGAUGGUUGACUUGUAAAUCGCAUGCCAGUUUAUACGUUAAUCUUGAUAACUAGGUUUGUCAUGUGGAUUGUUUCUUAUUAUUUUAUUACUUAUAUACUACGCACCAAACUUGUAUGCUCGCCGAUAUUUCUGUAUUGAAUUACACUUUUAAAACAUGUUGCAGGUUUAGCGUUGACGUUGACGUUGGUGAUGCAUGGAAUCUAGUAGGAUGCUUAGAUACAUACAUUAAAUUUUGUACUCUCACUGUAUUGUAUUUCAUUAUUUAUGUUGUAUUUGUUUCCAAUCUUUGUAAUUGAUUCUUUAGAAAUUGAAUGAAAUUUAUUAUUUAAACA